UACGUAGGGGGCAAGCGUUGUCCGGAAUCAUUGGGCGUAAAGAGCGUGUAGGCGGCUUGGUAAGUCCGCUGUGAAAGUCCAGGGCUCAACCCUGGAAUGCCGGUGGAAACUGUCAAGCUUGAGUCCGGAAGAGGCGAGUGGAAUUCCUGGUGUAGCGGUGAAAUGCGCAGAUAUCAGGAGGAACACCAAUGGCGAAGGCAGCUCGCUGGGACGGUACUGGCGCUGAGACGCGAAAGCGUGGGGAGCAAACAGG
rnacentral:rRNA from 1 species